UACGUAGGGGGCAAGCGUUGUCCGGAUUUAUUGGGCGUAAAGAGCGUGUAGGCGGCCUGACAGGUCUGCUGUGAAAACUCGAGGCUCAACCUCGAGAUGUCGGCGGAAACCGUCUGGCUAGAGUCCGGAAGAGAAGAGUGGAAUUCCUGGUGUAGCGGUGAAAUGCGCAGAUAUCAGGAAGAACACCUAUGGCGAAGGCAGCUCUCUGGGACGGUACUGACGCUGAGACGCGAAAGCGUGGGGAGCGAACAGG
rnacentral:rRNA from 1 species